UUCCGUUGGUUUCACAAGCAUAAUGCGUUUUUAUAGAAAGACCCUCUUUUAUGGCAACUGGUACAGUCAAGUGGUUUAACGAUUCUAAAGGUUUCGGUUUUAUUACCCCGGAAGACGGUGGUGAAGAUUUGUUCGCACACUUCUCCGCAAUUAACAUGAAUGGCUUCAAAACCUUGAAAGAAGGACAAAAGGUUCAAUUUGAAGUCACUCAGGGCCCAAAAGGCAAACAGGCUUCCAACAUUCAAUCCGUAUAAUUACCGGUUGGAUGAGACCUUAGAAACCCCGCUUCAUAGUGGGGUUUUUUAU
rnacentral:other from 1 species